AAGAACACAUGAUGUAAGUUUAGAAAACAAUGCUCCUGAUUGAAAUAAUGAAAGGUUUAAUAAUCUGAUUAUAGCUGGAGAAGUAGAGAAUGUAGACGUUUAUAAAGUGGACACUCCCGACAGGUUAAAAACAGUAAGAUCCAAAAAGUGAAAAGAGCUGUCAUUAAUAUGAAAGACAACGUUCUUCACCUUCAAUAAAAAGUGGUGACUUCACAUCAUAAACUCUACUCCUUCUACACUAACUCGUGAUGUGCAGCCAGACAAAUCAAAACCCACAGAAACUGAUUCAA